GCCGUCUGUCCAGCUCUUUUACUUUUUAACUCCCAGGACUUGAACUCCAGCCAUGUCUUCUGAAGAAGGAAUGCUCUUUGUGGGAGGGCUCCACUUUAACACCGAUGAGCAGGCACUGAAAGACCACUUCAGCAGCUUUGGCCCUAUUUCUGAGGUGGUUGUUGUCAAGGACCGGGAGACUCAGCGAUCCCGGGGUUUUGGCUUCAUCACCUUCACCAACCCAGAGCAUGCCUCAUAUGCCAUGAGAGCCAUGAAUGGAGAGUCCUUGGACAGUCGCCAGAUCCGUGUUGACCAUGCAGGUGGUGGGGACCAAGGCUAUGGGAGUGGCAGAUAUGACAGCCGAUCUGGAGGAAAUGGAUAUGGAUAUGGACGGUCCAGAGACUAUGGUGGCAGAAACCAGGGUGGUUAUGACUUCUACUCAGGAGGAAAUUACAGAGACAAUUAUGACAACUGAGAUGAGACAUGCACACAAAAUAUACACAGGGAAUAACACUUCUGAGCCAGGAUUGUUCUUCCAAAAUGGCUGUAUUUAUAAAAGAUUUUUGGAGCUGCACUGAA